GGCAAGUUUUAUUAUAUAAUCGUAAUAGAAAUAAAUUUAAAAUAUAGAAUGUGAAAAAAUUGCUAUUAGUAUAGAGAAGAGAUGGUUCAUACCACCAUCGUUAAUGUCGUCUAUGGCAACACAAUAGUCGUGAAGAGGACUGGGAUCAGAAGCAAAUGAAAUGGAGAACGCCAUUGAUGCUACAAGAGCAACCACUACAAUGAACUGAGAGCCUUUCAUUCUUUCUGCGUAUUUGAUCAUGUGAAGGAGAUGAUAGAUAUAUAUAUUAUACGUAUAUAUCUCUGUGUAAUAAUCAUGCAUGGAAAGCCAGUGAAUAUAUAGGCAGCAGAGCUGCA
rnacentral:lncRNA from 1 species